UUAGCACCGUGAAACGUCCUUGCGGCAGCCCAUGUUGUUCCGCGGGCAGGAACCGGAAGUCAUCGUCCAGCAACAGCAUGGUCUUCCUUCUUCAUCAAGGAGACGCCGAGAACAUCUGUGCGUCGAACGAGACGUCGAUCCGCGUCUGCGGACAACCUGUCAUGAAGAAAAUUGAGAUACCACCGUGUCCUAAGUUCUGAAUAUUUCUUCAAAAGAUGAUUCGUCCUUUUAUCGUGAAACCGGAAGCAUUUUAGAUAGAGGGGAGUUGUUCCAAUGAAGCCACGAAACAAAUUCGUAGAUAAUUCCGGAGGCGACGCAUUGAAGAACAUAUAAUUCUGAUGACGUACGGGAUCCACGUCCUUGGGAUACGUCAUUACGGUGAAACGUCGCGAGAAGAAGUAAAGUAGCUGGAAGUUGGAAGAAGUAAAAGUUUCCACGUUACCGGGAAAUGUCGUUCGGAAAUUCCUUUGGAAUUCUGACCGCCCCACCCCUGAAGUUCGAGUGUAAUUUACAAGUGUGAACCCAAUAAAAUUUCAAUGCUUUAUGACGCACGACGUAUGGCUGGGAACAUCGCGCGUCGGAACACCUACUUUCACCGCGAAAUUUCUCGCGCGCUCAAUCUAACAUAUCGAGAACACAAAGUAUCCUCCGUUCGAAUCAUUCGAACGAAUGAUAAGAGCGACAACAGAUAAAAGUAAUGGAAUGUAGAGCUUCAAUGCAAGCUUCGCAGUGGCCUCGCGUUGUAGAACGUAUGGCUGGGACGUUUUACACGCGAGAAACGGCAACGAAAUCGCUUAUUCAGAAUAAAAAUCCGCUUCCACAAUUACAGGGUGUUCUACGAUGAACGACGCGACCAAAGAGCUGAUGAUUGUGCGUGCACGAUAUCAAAAAGAAACUUUGAUCUCUCACGAUGGUUCGUCGCUGAAAGGAAUAUUCGAACUUUCAAUGAUCUUUCUCCCAAAAUCCGUAAUCCACUGUCCAUAUUUUUUUUGUAUUAUUCAUAAAUCCAUUAUCGACUCUAUACAAGAAUUAUUACUGUACUACAGAAAAUAUUGCACAGCAUUGGUCACAUUAUUUUUUAAUCAUCUUCAGUCGCUUUUCCUUUCGCCACCGUAAAAAGUAUAGAGCCGAUCGCGCAGCGAGAAGCAGAAGACGCGUUCGCGAACAACGAACGGACUGCGGAUUCAUUUUACAUUUACACCAUUCGCAGACGUAUAUAACGCAAAGAAACGAACGAUUCGAAUUAAAUUUAAAAUACUUUUUUUACGUAACUAUUGUAAGUAUUGUAAUAAUUAAAAUAAAUUUCUAUACAACCCCAAUUCGUAGAAAUUGGUCCAUUAAACGUUUGUACUCGCAUAAACAUCUGUGGUCUAACAAUAAAUACGUAACAUCUAUAAUAUCUAUAUUAUCUUAAUUGUUCGCUUUGGUCACGUAAUUCAUUGCAGCACACUUUGCGUUGAUACGCGCACAAUUUCUCGGCCAGCC